rnacentral:rRNA from 1 species
CCGGCGACCGGCGCACGGGUGAGUAACACGUAUGCAACCUGGCCGUCACAGGGGGAUAACCGGUAGAAAUGCCGCCUAAUACCCCAUGACACCCUUUAGGGACAUCCCUGGGGGGUCAAAGGGAGCGAUCCCGGUGGUGGAUGGGCAUGCGGCGCAUUAGCUAGUCGGCGGGGUAACGGCCCACCGAGGCGACGAUGCGUAGGGGUUCUGAGAGGAAGGUCCCCCACAUUGGAACUGAGACACGGUCCAAACUCCUACGGAAGGCAGCAG